rnacentral:sRNA from 1 species
GCUAUUGUAUUUUCUAAUAUCUGAUUUCUAUGUCAAUAAGCUCAUUUGAGCAUAAAUUUUGAAAUGUCAACAUUGUAUCAGAGCCACCGUUGGCCCAACUAGAGAAUUCCCACAAAAAUAGUUUUCUACCUUGUGGCCCAUACAAGUGGCAUGUCUUGUUGUAUUACUGAGAUAUUGGGCUUGACCUGUUUCCCGUUGGACAAAUUCCCACCCACAUCUCGAAAAGGUCCAUUAGAAUGUCCCACAUCCCUUGGGAUUAAGAUCUUUGGGAAUUAAGGAUGUGACAAUCCUUAACUCUUGAGCUAGGUUUUGGAUUAAGUUAUGCCACAUUCCUAAUAUGGUAUCAAAGCAUAAGUUUAGGAAUGUCAACAUUGUAUCGAAGCCAAACAGUUCAUCGGUUUUUU